rnacentral:rRNA from 1 species
CCUACGGGAGGCAGCAGUGAGGAAUAUUGGUCAAUGGGCGAGAGCCUGAACCAGCCAAGUCGCGUGAAGGAUGACUGCCCUACGGGUUGUAAACUUCUUUUGUAAGGGAGUAAAGUGACGCACGUGUGCCUUUUUGUAAGUACUUUAUGAAUAAGGAUCGGCUAACUCCGUGCCAGCAGCCGCGGUAAUACGGAGGAUCCGAGCGUUAUCCGGAUUUAUUGGGUUUAAAGGGGGCGUAGGCCGGUUUAUAAGUUAGCCGUGAAAUUGUGUGGCUCAACCUCGAGAGUGCGGCUGAAACUGGAGACCUUGAGUGCGCGGAAGGCAGGCGGAAUGCGUGGUGUAGCGGUGAAAUGCAUAGAUAUCACGCAGAACUCCGAUUGCGAAGGCAGCAUAC